CCAAGACUAGCAGAAAAAUGUUGUAGUAGCUUAGGGUAUAAAUACAGGGCCGGCCCACUGUUCAGGGUUCCUGCUUGCUGGAACACCUAGAUUGCUGGUUGGAAGCUUGCAGCUCCUGGGACCCUCAGAACGUCUGGUCUAUGACUUGGUUUCCAAAUGGGCCUGAAUGAAACUGAUGCGGCGUGGUCGCGAAACGUCUGAGGUGACGUGAAGGCAGCACAGAGGGGGCACGAGGUGUUUUUUCCUGCUGAGGGCGAUGGCGGGCCUGUGGAGAUCCUACCAGGCCUUGAUGAGCAGAUACCCCUGGACAGUCCAGAUCGUGACUGCCGGCUCGUUAAUGGGUGUUGGUGAUGUCAUCUCCCAGCAGCUGAUUGAGAGAAGAGGAUUGGCUCGUCACAGUGUCCAGCGGACGGCUAAGAUGAUGAGUAUUGGUUUUGUCUUUGUGGGUCCAGUAAUCAGCAGUUGGUACAAAAUCCUGGACCGGCUGGUGGUUGGAGGAACUAAAAGUGCUGCCAUGAAGAAAAUGCUUGCUGACCAGUUGUGUUUUGCGCCAUGUUUCCUGGCAACGUUCUUCUUGAUCUCUGGCACUCUGAACGGACUGACGGUGAAGGAGAACAUCGCCAAGCUCGAGAGGGUGAGGUCACAUUAUGUCUCAUCAACAUCAAUCAGGAUUACACAGACGCUCUGAUCUCUAACUAUUAUCUGUGGCCCCCGGUGCAAGUUGCCAAUUUCUACUUCGUUCCGCUGCACCACAGGCUCGCCGUGGUGCAGAUCGUCGCUGUGGUCUGGAACUCCUACCUUACCUGGAAGGCCAAUCAGCUGUGAGCGUGAUGGCGGGCCGCCCGACGUGGAAGAUGACUGUGUGACACGAGGCUUAACUAACUUACAUCGCCGUCUGAUAUCACCAGCGUGUAAAACUGACUCACUGCUAAAUGUAGAGAGAACGUCAUGUCCAGAUGACACGUUCACUCACGAGUCGAAAACAACAAACAUUUAUUUACGGAAAUAAGAUUCAGCACAAACAAUCUUUAGAAUUGUUGUCAUUUGAUAUUAACAAACAUUGUUUUGUGAUUAAGUAGACAUUUAAUUCAUUUAAAAACAUUCUAAAUUGUUGUACUUUUUUAAAAAUUGUUUUUGCUUUGACGCGCACAAUGUUUACACCCAGUCUGUCAAAGCAUUCUGGUCUGUCGAGGCCCCACAUGAAAGAGUUUGGAAAAUAAUAAAAUCUAAGAUGUGGAUGUUUGCUGUGAUCACACAGAGCUGGAAAGUAUUUGUAACGAUGUGCUAAGUGUAAAAAAAAAAUUAAAUAAA